UCACUGCUGAAGAGUCCCAAACAGGACGAAACAGCUGUUUAGUGC
rnacentral:hammerhead_ribozyme from 1 species